AACCUCCGCAAUGUGAGAAAUCGCGACGGGGGGAUCCCAAGUGCCAUUCUUAACGGGAUGGCUUUUCAUUAGUGUAAAGAGCUUUUGGAAUAAGAGCUGGGCAAGACCGGUGCCAGCCGCCGCGGUAACACCGGCAGCUCUAGUGGUAGCAAUUUUUAUUGGGCCUAAAGCGUCCGUAGCCGGUUUAAUAAGUCUCUGGUGAAAUCCUGCAGCUUAACUGUGGGAAUUGCUGGAGAUACUAUUAGACUUGAGACCGGGAGAGGUUAGAGGUACUCCCAGGGUAGAGGUGAAAUUCUGUAAUCCUGGGAGGACCGCCUGUUGCGAAGGCGUCUAACUGGAACGGUUCUGACGGUGAGGGACGAAAGUUAGGGGCGCGAACCGGAUUAGAUACCCGGGUAGUCCUAACUGUAACGAUGCGGACUUGGUGUUGGGGUGGCUUUGAGCUGCUCCAGUGCCGAAGGGAAGCUGUUAAGUCCGCCGCCUGGGAAGUACGGUCGCAAGACUGAAACUUAAAGGAAGU
rnacentral:rRNA from 1 species